rnacentral:rRNA from 1 species
CCUACGGGAGGCAGCAGUAGGGAAUCUUCCACAAUGGACGAAAGUCUGAUGGAGCAACGCCGCGUGAGUGAUGAAGGCCUUCGGGUCGUUAAUCUCUGUUGUUAGGGAAGAACCAGUACCGUUCGAAUAGGGCGGUACCUUGACGGUACCUAACCAGAAAGCCACGGCUAACUACGUGCCAGCAGCCGCGGUAAU